rnacentral:rRNA from 1 species
UACGUAGGGGGCAAGCGUUGUCCGGAAUCACUGGGCUUAAAGGGCGCGUAGGCGGACGACCAAGUCAGAGGUGAAAUCCCGCGGCUCAACCGCGGAAGUGCCCCUGAUACUGGUUGUCUCGAGGGAGGUAGGGGCGUGCGGAACUUCCGGUGGAGCGGUGAAAUGCGUAGAUAUGUGGAGGAAUACCGAUGGCGAAGGCAGCCUCCUGGGCCAACACUGACGCUCAUGCACGAAAGCGUGGGGAGCAAACAGG